GAUCUGAAUACACAUUUUCCAAAGAAGACAUCCAGAUGGCCAACAGAAACAUGAAAAGAUGUUCAACAUCACUAAUUAUUGGGGAAAUGCAAAUCAAAACUACAAUGAGGAGACAAAAACAUACAGACCAUAGCAGAAGACAAGGGUCUAUGUUAAGUUCAAGAUUAUGUCAAUGCCAAGAUCAAGGUCAAAUUCCCAAUCAGUGAAAGAAAUGGUCAGGGUGAUAUUCCUGUGGUCCUAAAAAAAGGUCAGGGUUUGGGGUUGGUCACACCAAGUGUGAGAUCAAGUUCAAGGUCAAAAUUAUAUUAUCAGUCAGUGAUAAAGAUGGUCACGAUGAUAGAAUCAAAGUUUAAGGGUAGAAAACGUUCUAAUGAAAGGUCAACGUGAAAGCAAAGUUUAAGACAAAGUUAAAAAUCAUGAUUAAGUUCAAAUUCUCAGAGAUAAAAUGAACAGAAUGAUAGACAAAGAUAGGAUUUGUUCAUAGUUAAGGUCAACAUAAAGGUCAUGUGCAAAGUCAAACCAGGGUCGAUUAAGGUCAAAUUAUCUGUCAAUGAUAGAAAAUGUCAGGAUGGUAGACAAGGACAGGAUGUAGGGUAAUAGGUUCAAGCUCAAAUUAAAAGUGAGGUAAUGGUCAACUUCAGGUAAAUUCAAGGUCAUAGUAAAGGUCAAGUCAGGUUCAAAUUUGAUUUCAGUGAUAGACAUUGAUAGGAUAAUCAAAGGUGGAAUAUUGUGAAUCAGUGUCAAGAUCAAGUUCAAGGACAAAGGAUAUGGACAAACUGAUGUCAAAGGAAAUGUCAAGAUCCUGUCAAGUUUCAAAUGACUGGUUUGUAAUAGAAAAACAAAAACCAAAAGGACAGAACAGAGACUAAAAAUGAUCAGUGUCAACUUCAAGGUAAAAAUCAAGAUCAAAUUAUCAGUGAGGGAUAGAUCAGAAAGUCCCAUACAUAAUAUGCAUCUGAAAAAGGUCAAGGUCACCUUCAAGGUCAAGAUCAAAGUACCAAGUUUAGGACAAAUUCUCAUUAAGAAAGUCAGUGGCAGUAUUUUGAUUAUCAGGGUCAAGGUAAAAGCUAAAUUCAAGUUCGAGAUCAAGAUAAAGUUCAUGGUCUAAAAGACCUCCAUAGACAUAUGAGGUCAAGGUCGUGGUCAAAUUUUCAGUCAGUGAUAAAAAAGGUCAGAUAAUAGGGACAGGAUAAGGGACUGAAAGUACCAAGGUAAAAGGCGGUACUCACUUUCAAGGACAAUAUCAAGGUUAAAAUCAAGGUCAAAUUUUGAGGGUUAGGGUCAAGAUGAGAAUUAAAGUUAGAGGAUCAGGGUCAGGGUCAGAUAAGGAUAAAGUUAGAUUUAGUGUUAUGGUUUGGGAUAGAUGUUAGGGUUGGAAUAAGUAUUAGGAGCAGGGAUGCGGUCAGGGUACAGUGCUGGGGUUGGGUCUGGUUUGGGUAUAUGUUCAUUCGUGUUCAUGUUCUUGUUUGUUGUUGGAUUUGAAUUCAGGCUCAGGCUCAGGCCAGGAGUUGGGAGAGUGUAUAACAUGCAGAAGAGACUGGUGAACACAGUAGUAUUUGACUGAAAUAACACUAUCUGCAUUUAUUUGUGCACCUAGCAGUCUUCUAACAUGUUUUUUACAUGUGUCUUUAGAGAGUACACAAUACGCACCCCAUAGACGUAAAUACAGUGUUCCACUGAAGUAACACUUUCCUGAUUCCUUCAUGCAACUAGAAUUUUUAGAUCCAUCUUUUACACAUUUCUUUACAGAGCUUAGAUCAUGCAGCACAGUCUUUCACAGAGAACGAACACAGUCUUUCAAUGAAAAAACACUAUCCUGAUUCUUUCAUGCAAGCAGCUCUUCAGAAGCUUUUAUGUGUGUCUUUAGAGUGUAUAAUGUGCAGCACAGUCUAAUGUGAACACAGUAUUUCACUGAAAGAACACUAUCCUUGUUCUUUCAGGUGACUAGAACUGUUUUAGAAACAUCUUUCCUAGAUGUGUCUCUAGGGAGCUAUAAUGUAAUGUGCAGCACAGGGUACUGGACACAGUGUUUCACAGGAAUAAGAUUCAUGGACUCAGCCAUUGCCUUGGAAAUGACUCUUAUGCAUUUGUCUUUAGAGUGUAUAACAUGUAGCAGAAAAUGAUGAACACAGAGUUUCACAGAAAUAACACUGUCCUCAUUUGUGUAACUGGUACUCUUAGAAGCAUCUUUUAGACUGCGUCUUUAGAGUGUGUACUACAUGCAGCACAGAUUUGUGAAAACGGAGUUUCAAAGAAAAAACACUAUCUUAAUUCUUUUGUGUAACUAGCAUCUUUACAAAGAUCUUUUGUAGUCCAAACUGGGGGAUGAAAGUCCUUUAACACCUGACCCCAUCACACAGAGUCCACGUACACUCUAGUCCCAAGGAAACAAGAUCCAUGGGGCUUCAGGUCCCUUGGACCUGCUCUUGGCCACUGCUUUAGGAAGCAGGCCAGGUGGAUGGGAAAAAACGGAUGCGCACACGCACGUGCGCGCACGCACACACACUCACACUCACUCAUCCUAGGGGCCUGUAGGUCUUCCCACCAGGGCCUGGCAGCAAGGGGAGCAGACAACAUCCUAGGAGACAGUUGCUGCCAGUUCCUGGCUCAUCCCCCUCCCCCAAGGCCAGCCUCAGGGCAGCACUCUCACUUCUUGGCCCAGCCCAGGUGCUGCCUCCACCAGAACAGUUCUCUUCUUUUUCAUGCUGGGGGUGCAGUAUGGGUGGAGGGUCCAGGUCUGGGUGGGUAGACUGGAGCUGGAGUACGGAGGACCACUGCAGGGCUUCACUGGAGCCAGGUGGGCCAGUUAAGUUGGGGUGAAGGAGGGGCGCUGGCUGCGCCAAGGGCCUAGGGCUGGAGGUAGCCAGGAGGCCUUGGGCCUGGGAUGUUCUUGGGACGCCCAGCCGAGGGCCCCACUGACAACAGCCGUACCAACCUGAAUGUGGCCAGUCUUCUCUGCCACCAGAAGACGGGAGCAGGCUCCCUCCAAACAUCAUCUGCCCUCCGACUCCUGGACAUUACAGUCCCUGUCACCCUCAGCUGCCCAGGACCUCUUAUUGCACUGGCACAGUGGCAUCCAGCCCUGCAAUCUCGCGGCAGUGGGACGCGCUGGCAGAGGGGCAUCAGCGUGUCCUGGUCGACCCCCGUGGGUGGCUCCACACCCCGCCGUGCACCUGCACGUCCAUCUCCGGCGACUGGGUGACGCGCCGACGCCCUGGCACUGGCGGGACGAUCCUGCCAGCGCCGCUAGCUUCCUAGGACUUCGCCUCCAUCACAGCCGCCAAGCGCUUGUUGGUUUCCGGGGGCUCCGGAGAAAAACUACGUAAAAGUUUCCGCCAGGUGGCGCCUGACAACUGGUGCGAACGUCUCCGGGACGGACCGGGGUUGCCUGCUGUUGUGGACACGCCGCCGGCCGCCCGUCCAAACGCCCGACCUCGGAGCGCCGUCUCUCGUCCCGGGGCAAACGCAGGGCGUCCCCCUCGGGGCUCUUGGCCGGCGCGGCGCGACCCCAGCAGCAGAAAGGGGACUUGGAAAUGUUCUCAGGAUGUCCCUUGAACCACUGUUCCCCUCCAGGGACGGCUGCUGGGAGCGGACAGGCUCCGGACUCUGGAGAGGACGCGGGAAUGUCCUGGAGACGCGCCCAGGCAGGGGGCCCUGCUGGGCCUCCCAGAGCGGUACCGGGCUCCCCGCGGACGUAGAAAAGUCUGCAGGACUCGGGCAGGCGUGGACUGUAAACCCGAAACCGUGAAGGUACUCGUAGAAACAUGGACGAAUCAUUUUAAUUCUGUGAUUUCAGAGCGGAGAAGGUCUUUCUAAAGCAUAAAACAAAGCCCAGAAGCCGUAAAGAAAAUGCCUCCGGGAGGGGCUCACGCCAUCCUCAGAGUCACUGAGCGCGCUGGGAGGCCGUGGCAAUUCACGCCUCGGUGGUCCAGAACACUGGCUGCCGCCCCGACCUAUGGCAAAGCAGACCUCUCCAUGGACCGGGACGGCUGACCCGUUGAAUGAAAUGGUCUUCCCAGCUCUCCUCUGGGCCAAAGGAAGAAACGGCCCUUAGACCCGGAACCCAAGGUACAAUCCCGAGUCAAUAGUAUGCAGCUGGGUCUCGGGCCCUUUGGGUCAGCUCAUCACCGCUUCUCAAGAAAGAGUGAGGUGCCUAAAGUCCAUGGGCGUUACUGCAGAAAGGGGAGAAAGAGUGACCAAAACCCACAAGGACACAGCAUACCCCCGCCUCUCCCGCCCCCCUCGCCCUGGGUCAACUGCUCCUCACCGGGCCCAGCCGUGAGGGGAGGAGAAAACGUCUCAACAGAUCAUCUCUCCUGCCUCCUGGUUCCUCUGGCCUGUUGCCUGGGUCAUUCAGAUUCUGGGGGUUUCUUGAUGUGACUGUGGGGGUGUGAGAGCUUGGAGCUUCCUAGUCUGCCAUUUUGCUGACCAGUACCUGACAUUUUAUUCUGUCUGCUACAUUCCUCCUCCUCAGUACUCAGUCAAAAUUAAGGAAACAAUACUCUCCAGACAUUGCGUCCAGUUUUCAAAUGUGAACAAGGUUUAAUAAGACAGAGGGAAACAGUGGUUUGAACAAAUUUGGGAAGGGAUUGCUAAGAGAAUUUUAUCUUUUUUGGAAUGUAUCAAAAUGUUCAAGUGCAUUCCAUGAAAACUUUAGUAUGUUUAAAAGUAGACAAAGAAAUGACUCCUCAUUGCUCCCUCUGGCCCAACCCUCUCUCUUCUCCUACCUGACGCUGCGCAGCCUCCACUUUGGCAUCUGUCACCAUGGGUUGCUUGAACUCACCUGAUGAGAUACCUGCCUCCGGCUGUCCUGUGCACGGCUGUUUGCACUCGUCUCUAUCCUCGCGUUCACUGGAGGCCCGAGCCCAUUGCUCAGUUAGAGAGUGGAAGCCUUUCCCCACGGAGGCCAAGGGGCGGAUGAGAAAAUCACAGUCUUUUACAUUUCUUCUCUGCAAGAACAUCCUUAAUGGAGAACAGGAUAAAUGAAUCAGUUAGUGGAAAUGUAAGGAAGGAGGUAAUUUCUUGAUUAAUCCCUAGUCUGCCCUAUGCCUGACGGGGUCUUGGUGAAAUGUAACUGGAACUGAUAUUUCCUGGGUGCACUUAGAGGAUCCGAGCCAAGAGGAGAAACCUGCCCGACUGGCAAAGACUAUCAAUUCGGUAGUAAGAACAAUCCCCUACUCACUUGCGUGUCAUUGUCAGGAACUCAGCCACCACCUGUCUUCCUCUGUGUUCUCAUUGAGGGACAGUCUGAACACUAAGCAGAUAAAACUGAGGAAAGAGAGAAAAGCUAUGAGAAUCCAGUCUUUUAAAAUAUUGCUGGAGACACCAGUCUUGAAUCCCCAGACACACACCUGCCAGCGACCCUGCCCAACCUGUGUACUUGCAGGGGGACCUAAGACAAACGAGGGAGCCCUCUCCUCUCCCAGGGCUGAAGGUACUAAGGCUUGGAUACUGCUGAUCAUAAGGAAGAUAGUAAUAGUCCCAUUUUGUAGAUAACAAAAUAAAAAUCGUGGGGUUUUAUACUUUAAUUACACCUUCUAUUUAGAGUUAUUAUUUAAUUAAUAUUUAAUUCCUUGGAUUAAUACCAACUCCUAGGAAACCCUCGUAACUAUCACCUGAGGAUUCUUGUCUCCACAGCAAGGACACCACUCUGGAAUUUCUGAGUUAUUAAUUCUUGGUUAGGUGCACACACAUUACUUCUCUAAUACCAAUCCCAGCCCUUUAGAGCUUCCACCCUCCCUGCUGUACCCUGCCCCCCACUCUCUGGACACACUUGUCCUCAAACAUUUGGUCUCCUCUGCAGGUGGGAUUCAGGCAACAUCAGGACAUUGACCCUGACUCUGCCCCACGUGACCUUGUACAUGUGGCAGGCUACUUUGGAAUCUCUUUAAUGGUGGACGGGACAAUCCAAGGACUCACAUCUUAUUGGUCUUGUUCAAUGACUCUCAUCAUGCAUGUCAGGCACUAAAAACCCCUUGCACAGGCAGGGAGCAGGAGUACACGUGUUAUAAGUCUGCUGUCGUGUCCCACAAUCCCCACACAACAGAUAGGCUCAGCAAAUGCUGAGUGCAGGAGUUUAAUUUGGGGAGAAAUCGAGUUGACUUCUUCAGAUAUCUUAGUGAAAUGGUAUCUGGAAUUCUGUCUUAAUAAUUAUCAUCAGCAGGAUCAUUUCACAAUUUAUGUAUAUGAAAGCAUUUGUCGCCUCCAAAGUAUUACCUAAAUCAAUGUUAAUAAUUCAGUGUACAGUCUGGACAAAUAAUGCAAUGUGUCAGGAACGGAGGUGGAUUACAACCCUUUGAUCCUGAGUUCCUGAAAAGAGAAACCAUUUCUGGUAGUAUGAAUUGAAACCCUGUGGGUGGGAAAUACAUAUACUGGCUUAUAUAAUCCUAUUUCCCUGAUGUUUAUGGACUUGUUGUCUGCUUAACAAGUGAAGCGAACUGUGUUCAGAGACUUUAGUAAUACAACAAAAUUCCAUGCUAGAAAAUGACAGAACGAGAAUGUAAAUUUAGCUCUGUUGUCUCUGAAUCUCAAAUUCCUAAACUUGCUUGUCUUGGGGGAUAUAUCCCAGACCGAAGUUUUACCUGGAUGGCCCCUCAGAUGAAUGAUCUGAGACUCUUAUCUCUUAGCAUGCCCCUUCUCCUUUCAGCAAGUUCACACAAUUACUCCCUGUGUUAAGUUUCUCCUAAUUCAGAGGAACUUUCAGUGCAUUGACCCCAAUUCCCAAACGUCAGCCCCUCCUCUCUUCAGUUUUGCAGAUGUUUCACCUGCAUGUUCUCAUUUCAACAUAUACACACCAGGAGCAAACAUUAUCCAUCCCUCCAACCUUUCACCACAUCUGGUGAUCAAGACCUCAGUCCCAGAUGACUCCAAAUACUGUAUUGCCCUUUCCAUGCCUGCAUCUGUCACAGGACAUGGCAUGUCACAGACACUGACCAGGUCUAAUUACAGAGUCACCAAUCUCCCAGUGGCUUUCCAAAUUAUCAAGUGUCCUUCUAUGCUUUGGUACUUAAUUAAUCUUUCCACGCUUCAUAAAUAUUUCAGACUUUCACCAAGCCUUUCAAAUAUAAAAAUUCCUCACCUGUCCUCUCAGUUUCCACAAAUGGGAUCAUCUUCUGCUGCACUGAUGAAUUUGAUGAUUUGAAGUAAUACUUCAGCUCACUGCCAUGAAGUCUACAAAUAUCCCUGCAUUCUUACCAUUAGUGACUCGUCUCCUGAUUCAAUUGAAAAGUUAUCUUGAUCCUUGGUUUAGUCCAGUUGUAUCCCUUCCUUUCCUGCUUUCUAGAGAAAUUUUAUUAUUGAUUAUAAACGUCAUGUUCUUUACUAGUAACCACCCCACCCCUCCUCCAUCAAACCCCUUUAACUCAUUCUGUCUCUUCAUUACUAAAACAAAAACCUCUCCUGAGCCAAUUUCUCUCUUGUUCUUGCCCCAUGACUUCCUUCCCCUUCACAAUGAACCUGAACGAUCAGUACUCAUGGAAUUACAGUCUUCUCAUUCCCUGACUCCUCAGACUUACUAAGAUCGCCAACGAUCUGUAUGUAAAUAAAUCUUGAUAAGAUCACAGUUAUCUGCCCAUCAUUAAGUCCAAGGAGUGUUUCUGUGUUUUUAUCUUGGAACAAAAGCAGAAUUGGAACAUGAUCUCCUUUUUGGGUGAUUACUUGUCCUAGGCUUCUUGACAUCUCAGGCUCCUGAUUGCUUGUAAAUAUGACCACACCCCCCUGGUGUUUUUCCCAGGUCCUUUUCACACAACACUAUUGGGACAACUCAGGACUCAAUUCUAGCUUUGUUUUCUCUGAUUACUUUAUACUGUCUUGGAACUCUUAUGCAUUUCCUCCAUUGUUUCAAUUUCUUCUAUUGUUAUCUCAAUGAUGACAAUGUCUAAAACCACGUCCAGAUUUCAUUUCUGAUAUAUAAUCCCUGCACGUGUAUGUUUUAGGCCCCUAAAUAAAACUUGUCUCUACUGAAGCCAUUAACUCCCCACUCACCAACUAAAUACUCCUUCUCCUCUUAGUCUCCGGUCUCAUAUGAUAGCUCCAGUCGCUAUCCAGGGAGUAACGUUUAACACAAGCUCUCAGAUCACAUAAACAAAACCAAGCAGUGCUGUUGUCAGUACACUGAGCGCCACUGUCAUCCCUCAUUUCCACACCAGAAUCCAGACUUGUAUUCCCACCCUAUACUCAGUUUCAGUUUAAAAUGUCAAUUCUGCAGAGAUCCCCUUUUAAACUACUACUGGAGUAAGCAUUUUCUCCGCCUCUUAUCUUGAAUAGAACUUGACUUUUCCUUUAGGCCACUGUGAAAUAAGUUAAGACGUGUUCUUUUGAUUUAAUAUGAUGUAACCUUUGAAAUUGUUUCAAAUAAUUGUAAAAUGAUUAUAAUCACAUUGGAUCUUUGAAAAGUGAGAUAUAAAAGUAUAGAGUAUAAUCUUUAUUUUAUAAAAACAAAUGCAUGUUUACCUCACAUGGGAAAGUUGAUUCUCUGGGACAUGCAACAGCAGUUAUACCUGUGCUGAGAUUAUGAGGCAUAUGGUGUGUUCUCAUCAAACAGCAGUGUUUCUGCCAGGAACCUAGUAGAUUUGUUUUUCCCUUGUUUGAACUGACAGUUAGAUGCUUUGCAUGCUUUAAGUAAGGAACUCAAGCUUUAACAUGUCUUCUCUGUCUCUCUCUCUGGGUUAUCUUGUUUUGGUUUUGAUGGGGUAAGGGGAGUAAGGAGAACAUGCCCGAGGAAUCCCCUUGUUGAGUGGACGCGUAUGGUCUUGGUGAAAGCCCUCAUCCAGUGGAGCUCCUAGAGAUGUGGCCAACAGGCACUAAUUCCCUUUCGGUGCCUGACAAAGCAGGAUUGACCUCCCUCUGCUGUUGGUUCUGUUUUGUUUGAUAUUAUGUCUGGUAUUUUUCAAGCCAAAAACUUGUGUCAAAAGGAAAGUUCCGGAAAUGCUUCCAAGGAUGAUGAUGAGAAUUUGAUUUCGAAGUGACUAUUCCCGGCAUUUGAUGAAACUUCUUCAUCAUUAAUCACCAUCUGGAUUGUUCUGGAUCCGUUCCAUCAUUUCACAGUGAUAGUGCCAUCCUCUACAUUCCUUACCAAAAAUUAUUCUUUUGUUUAGAAGCCACUAGUGUGUUAUUACUUUAUCAUCUUAAAAAAAAAAUUCAUGUUUCUGGGAUUUUGUUUUUGUUUUGGAGUUUUUUAAAGCAGCUAGGUGUUUUUGAGCUGAAAAUGAAAAGUAUUUAUUAUGGAAAUCCUCUUGAUGUACCCAUAAGGAUGAAACAGGUCAGACUGUUUGUUAUAAGCUAUGAAAAUUCUAGAAGGUUUUCCUCUGAUGUGACCUGUAAAAUUUUCCCUUUCAACAAAGAUUUUCUUUCUUUGUGUUCUGUAGCUUAUUUUAAAAGACCCGCUGGGGCAUGUCCAGUGAGAUAGUUCUGUUGGAGUGAGGAUAGUGCUGCAUACAACCUGUGCUUCAUACCGUCUGGGCCUUACCGUACUCUGCACAAAAGGCCAAGGGCUGGCCUUUUGAAGACAGGGCUAUUUUUGCAUUAUGAGUUCUGAGAUGCUGAAAAGACCUUCUGUGGCUUUCCUUAUAUCCUAAAUUUCACAAUUAGAAACUUAUUCUUUUAAAUCUUGAAGACCUUUCACCAUGAGUUUCUGUUAAAAGAUGACUAUCUAGGAUGGAAAGCAGCUGUCAUUCAGAAUCUUACCAGAGUUUCCUGCCAGCCUCCUUGGAGGAUGGAGCAGAAUAACCUGGUGGGGGAAGGGCUCAUGACUGCUAGGCCUUGGGGAAAAGCUAGGGGGGAAGUUCUUUUACCAGGGACUUUCCAUGCUGGGCCUGGAUUGCAGUGACAGCAGCUGAAAGCAACUUAAAUGAUUUUAAUUUGAAUACAGCUUUGUACAACUUC